AUUUGCUAUUUAAAGUUGAGUCUCUGCUCCACUGUAACGUUUCAUGGUGCCAACACUGACGCGUCUGCAUGCGCGCAGUUUUUAGCACAGAGAAGUUUUGUGGUAUUUGGAGACAGCGGUGAUAAGAAAAUAAAAGACAGGGUGGUCGGGACAACACAAACAUCCAAGAUCCCGGUUCAGAACACGGACGAGAAUAAGUGACCCGGAUUUCCUUUGACAGCCAACGAUACGACUCAGUCAUGGGUGUGAAGAUGCUCCAGUGUUUUCCCUUCUACAGGCGCAGCAAGGAGCGCUGCAAGGGUAGACAGAGCCCCCCUGUGGCCGUGUCGGUCCAAGAUAGGAAACCACGGCUGGCGUCCACAACAUCCUGGGGGAGCGACAGCGAGGGGUCAGGGGGCCUCAACCGGGGCUCUCAGAUUUAUUUCUCCACGAAAGCCAGGGUCUCCUUCAGACACCAGCUGGACAGCAACAUCAACGCAGUGGACGCCACAUACUGAGGAUGAGAGAGCCUGGGAACUGAUCCAACCUCAAGGGACUGGUCACUUUCUGCAGUUCCUCUACUUCCAAACUACUGCUGAGAGACAGCGGCACAGGACAGGCUCCACCAGCACGAGGACUGGAACAGUUCAAACCUGGCAUAAAGUGAUGAACUGGAUUUUUCUUCCAUCAAAGUCCAUGUCAGUUUACACCAAUCACCAUCAUGUGCUUUAUUUUUUAUUUUAGAAAAACUCUUGAAAAUUUUCCACCAAAAUGUGUAUAUUUCAUGUACAGUAGGUCAACGUGAAGGAGGAUGGCUCCACUGCAGGAUGAGCUGAAUGACUCUAGAUGAUACUGGGUCUGACUAAACAAAUGUGAUCACGAGAAAAACAGAAAUUCCUUAAUAAAACUUACUUUGCAUAAUACUUUUCAUGCAUAUUUUCCACUGACUGUUUUGGUAUUAAAGAGCUAAUUAACAGAAAUACAAGCACAUUUUUGGAGACAGAGUUUUAAAUUGCAUUCUGCAUUUGGUCAGGUUUCAUUUAUGAAACCUUUCUGUAAUGAAACCAAUACAGUGUGAAAUGUGCCCCCCAAAUAUGUCCCUGCUCAAAGAUCAACCAAACAAAGCACAAGUACGCCGAUUAAAGCGUUUAUUUCAAAAUGUUGGCGUUAAAAAACUAAAAGAUGACGGUGGAUCACUGCAUGCUCUUGGGUUUGGAGAUGACACCAUCAGGGUAGCGCUUCUUAAAGCGGGCGACGACGUCAGGGUCCAGGAGGUGAAUUCCAUCCAACUGAUUUCCCAAAGUGACCCUAAAAGGAGGGAGUGAGAUAACAAACUCAUAUUACCACACUGCUUUGAGGUGUUGUACCUCGUGCAGAGCCAAAACAGACUGGUAAACAAAACAAAAAAGAAAAUAGUGAGAUAGAAAUAAAAGAUCACAAUGAAAUUGCUGAAGAUUUGAAUAUUUUUAACACGCUCCAUUCAGGUAAUAUCUGUUUUCCCAACCUUCUGGUUAUGAAUCUGUUCCUUUCAAUAAGGCACAGCCCA